rnacentral:rRNA from 1 species
GACGAACGCUGGCGGCGUGCUUAACACAUGCAAGUCGAACGGAAAGGCCCUGCUUUUGUGGGGUGCUCGAGUGGCGAACGGGUGAGUAACACGUGAGUAACCUGUCCUUGACUUUGGGAUAACUUCAGGAAACUGGGGCUAAUACCGGAUAGGAGCUCUUGCUGCAUGGUGGGGGUUGGAAAGUUUCGGCGGUUGGGGAUGGACUCGCGGCUUAUCAGCUUGUUGGUGGGGUAGUGGCUUACCAAGGCUUUGACGGGUAGCCGGCCUGAGAGGGUGGCCGGCCACAUUGGGACUGAGAUACGGCCCAGACUCCUACGGGAGGCAGCAGUGGGGAAUAUUGCACAAUGGGCGGAAGCCUGAUGCAGCAACGCCGCGUGCGGGAUGACGGCCUUCGAGUUGUAAACCGCUUUCGCCUGUGACGAAGCGUGAGUGACGGUAAUGGGUAAAGAAGCACCGGCUAACUACGUG